rnacentral:rRNA from 1 species
CCUACGGGAGACAGCAGUAGGGAAUCUUCCACAAUGGACGAAAGUCUGAUGGAGCAACGCCGCGUGAGUGAAGAAGGGUUUCGGCUCGUAAAGCUCUGUUGGCAGUGAAGAAAGAUAGAGGUAGUAACUGGCCUAUAUUUGACGGUAAUUACUUAGAAAGUCACGGCUAACUACGUGCCAGCAGCCGCGGUAAUACGUAGGUGGCAAGCGUUGUCCGGAUUUAUUGGGCGAAAAGCGAGUGCAGGCGGUUCAAUAAGUCUGAUGUGAAAGCCUUCGGCCCAACCGGAGAAUUGCAUCAGAAACUGUUGGACUUGAGUGCAGAAGAGGAGAGUGGAACUCCAGGUGUAGCGGUGGAAUGCGUAGAUAUAUGGAAGAACACCAGUGGCGAAGGCGGCUCUCUGGUCUGCAACUGACGCUGAGGCUCGAAAGCAUGGGUAGCGAACAGGAUUAGAUACCCUUGUAGUC